AUUGAACGCUGGCGGCAUGCCUUACACAUGCAAGUCGAACGGUAACAGGUCUUCGGAUGCUGACGAGUGGCGAACGGGUGAGUAAUACAUCGGAACGUGCCUAGUAGUGGGGGAUAACUACUCGAAAGAGUGGCUAAUACCGCAUGAGAUCUACGGAUGAAAGCAGGGGAGCGCAAGACCUUGUGCUACUAGAGCGGCCGAGGGCAGAUGAGGUAGUUGGUGGGAUAAAAGCUUACCAAGCCGACGAUCUGUAGCUGGUCUGAGAGGACGAUCAGCCACACUGGGACUGAGACACGGCCCAGACUCCUACGGGAGGCAGCAGUGGGGAAUUUUGGACAAUGGGCGCAAGCCUGAUCCAGCAAUGCCGCGUGCAGGAUGAAGGCCUUCGGGUUGUAAACUGCUUUUGUACGGAACGAAAAGCCCUGGGUUAAUACCCUGGGGUCAUGACGGUACCGUAAGAAUAAGCACCGGCUAACUACGUGCCAGCCGCCGCCGUAA
rnacentral:rRNA from 1 species